rnacentral:rRNA from 1 species
CCUACGGGGGGCAGCAGUGAGGAAUCUUGCGCAAUGGGGGAAACCCUGACGCAGCAACGCCGCGUGAGUGAGGAAGGUCUUCGGAUCGUAAAGCUCUGUCAGUUGGAAAGAAAUGUCUGAGAGUCAAUCCCUUUCAGGCUUGACGGUACCAACAGAGGAAGCACCGGCUAACUCCGUGCCAGCAGCCGCGGUAAUACGGGGGGUGCAAGCGUUGUUCGGAAUUAUUGGGCGUAAAGAGCGUGUAGGCGGCCGGAUAUGUCAGAUGUGAAAGCCCCGGGCUUAACCCGGGAAGUGCAUUUGAAACUGUCCGGCUCGAGUAGGGGAGAGGGAAGUGGAAUUCCUGGUGUAGAGGUGAAAUUCGUAGAUAUCAGGAGGAACACCGGUGGCGAAGGCGACUUCCUGGCCCUAUACUGACGCUGAGACGCGAGAGCGUGGGUAGCAAACAGGAUUAGAUACCCGUGUAGUC